UGCACAGUUUCGCGUGUCUGUAUACUGUAUUAUAGUAGAAUUAUAGGUAUUGCGAUUAUAAUCGUAGAUCGAAAAACGUUUUGACGGAUUUCCAUUCCGCGAGUCGCAGUGACACAUCACGCGGACAGAAUCAACUAUUCCUGUCGUCCGCGUGUCCCGCGAUUGGCGCGCGAUUAGAGAUAAAGAGACGACAAAUAUAAUGUAUACAGGUAUAAUAUAGUAAAGUCCUGCACUCGACGGGCGUAUAAGGGAAAAUAAUAAUAAGUGUCCGAGAUGUCUGCUAUGGGCAGUCCGACAACUUGACGGAAUCGACCGCGUUGAUAGCCGCCAAAGUGUGCGACGUAUCUUAUAGCCGCGCGAACAAUGAGUUCUCGUUUUUCACACCUAUCAACGUCGUCGUCGUCGCGGUGUGAUGGUAAAAAAAAAAAAAUAAAACGCGACACAAUUCACAGAAUAAAUAAAUAAUAUUAUACGAGAUUUGAUAAAGCUAUUAUAUCCGCAUCGUCGUCGUCGUUCGUGAUGUCUUGUUAUUGCACUAGCCUGCAAGUACAUAUUAUAGUCUCGGCGCAGGAGUUUUAAUUUCAAACUUUUUAUCCUUUGUAUUUCGUUUGUGCAUGUAAGGCCGAUGCCUGUAUAGUGCGUACUGCGACGGUAUUUAUAUGAAAAGCUCCUCGUUUAAGUAGAGUUUUGGGGAUAAUUUGACGAGGAAACUGUACGGGAAAGGAAAAUGCUAUCUCGUCGGGCGAGGGGAAAUCUAAAACUAAUUAAGGAAUGUAACGUCAGAGAAGCGAUAUCGUGAGUAACGAAGCUUCAAUCGAAAUAAUAUCAAACCGACAGCUUGUCUCAACGGUCUGAGGGCAAAUUUAGUGUUUGUUGGACAGAAGUAUCAAUUAUUGCGAGGAGGACAGUCGAUUUGAUGAGUGCAAGAGGCACAGUGUAAAUCGCGCUAAACACUGUCAAUAAUUAAAUUAGCCGAUAUUUAUGGCUAGUAAACGGACUACAGAUUACGGAGCCGUAUUUUGACGGUAUAAAUUGAUGAUGAAUUAUUACAACAGUAACAGCAGCAGCAAAAUGGUGUCGAAUUAACGUAGCAAUGAAUUUAACACACCGGUCGUUUUAAUAAAUAUAUAAUUUUUUUUUAUUCGCGUAUUGUUAGGUCACUCGCCGAGUUCUUCGGCCUUCGCAUUCUGUAUACGAAUAGCAGUAAAUACGACAGCUGUUGUUAUACAUAAUAAUAAUAUAUUAUAUUAAUUGUUGUCGUUUUGUGGUUCCGUUCGGAACGCCGCCGUGCAGAGGCUGACUAUAAUAU